rnacentral:rRNA from 1 species
UACGUAGGUGGCAAGCGUUGUCCGGAUUUACUGGGCGUAAAGAGCGCGCAGGCGGUCAGAUAAGUCGAAUGUGAAAUCCCCGGGCUCAACCCGGGAACUGCGUCCGAUACUGGCAGGCUUGAAUCCGGGAGAGGGAUGUGGAAUUCCAGGUGUAGCGGUGAAAUGCGUAGAUAUCUGGAGGAACACCGGUGGCGAAGGCGGCAUCCUGGACCGGUAUUGACGCUGAGGCGCGAAAGCCAGGGGAGCAAACGGG